CCUACCCAUAGAGUCUGGUAGGUGUGGCUGCUGUGUCACAUGUGUAUCCAGAAGUGGCAGAGGAGAGAGGUUCUGUCUACCUUCAAUAUUCUGACCUAUGAACAUCUGAAUGACCAGUAGCUUAAAAUU